rnacentral:misc_RNA from 1 species
GAUGAAGAACGUAGCGAAAUGCGAUACGUAAUGUGAAUUGCAGAUUUCAGUGAAUCAUCGAAUCUUUGAACGCACAUUGCGCCCCUUGGUAUUCCAUGGGGCAUGCCUGUUCGAGCGUCAUUUGUACCUUCAAGCUUUGCUUGGUGUUGGGUGUUUGUCUCGCCUUUGCGUGUAGACUCGCCUUAAAAUAAUUGGCAGCCGGCGUAUUGAUUUCGGAGCGCAGUACAUCUCGCGCUUUGCACUCAUAACGACAGCGUCCAAAAGUACAUUUUACACUCUUGACCUCGGAUCAGGUAGGGAUACCCGCUGAACUUAAGCAUAUCAAUAAGCGGAGGA